GCACAAAUGAUGGAAAAAAUCACUAUUUGGGGGGGGGAAUGACAUGAACAAAGGAACCACUGAUACAC
rnacentral:snoRNA from 1 species